rnacentral:rRNA from 1 species
UACGUAGGUGGCAAGCGUUGUCCGGAUUUACUGGGCGUAAAGGAUGCGUAGGUGGAUAUUUAAGUGAGAUGUGAAAUACCCGAGCUUAACUUGGGUGCUGCAUUUCAAACUGGAUAUCUAGAGUGCAGGAGAGGUAAGUGGAAUUCCUAGUGUAGCGGUGAAAUGCGUAGAGAUUAGGAAGAACACCAGUGGCGAAGGCGACUUACUGGACUGUAACUGACACUGAGGCAUGAAAGCGUGGGUAGCAAACAGG